rfam:Edaphobacillus lindanitolerans strain MNA4 genome assembly, contig: Ga0116976_14
UGCGGUGUGGCGGAAUUGGUCAGCGUAGACGACUCAAAAUCGUGUUCCUUACGGAGUGUCGGUUCGACCCCGACCACCGGUA